GACCUGCAUUUUUAAAAUUGCACAGUUGUAUUGCACAUUUAUAAGUUUUGACGAAUGUACUUUUCAGAGGGUGUAGAAUGUCUGGACUAUGAGCUAUAUUUACUCUUGUCUUGUCCCUGUUUCACGGAAACUGUGGCUUUUUUUUAUGUUGGCCAUUGUUUAUCUUUAAACAGGAAGAGUAUAAGCUAGCAGUUGAGGUAUUGUCUGCUGAAUGUAGUCUGUUUUGUCAGGCACUGCAGACUGCUACAGAA